rnacentral:rRNA from 1 species
GAUGAACGCUGGCGGCGUGCCUAAUACAUGCAAGUCGAGCGAACAGACGAGGAGCUUGCUCCUCUGACGUUAGCGGCGGACGGGUGAGUAACACGUGGAUAACCUACCUAUAAGUCUGGGAUAACUUCGGGAAACCGGAGCUAAUACCGGAUAAUAUCUUGAACCGCAUGGUUCAAUGGUGACAGACGGUUUUUCUGUCAGUUAUAGAUGGAUUCGCGCCGCAUUAGCUAGUUGGUACGGUAACGGCUUACCAAGGCAACGAUGCGUAGCCGACGUGCGAGGGUGAUCGGCCACACUGGAACGGAGACAGGGUCCAGGCUCCUACGAGAGGCAGCAGUAGGGUAUGUGCGGCAAUGGGCGAAAGCAUUACGCAGCAACGCCGCGUGAGUUAUGAAGGUCUUCGGAGCGUAAAACUCUGUUAUUAGGGAAGAACAAAUGUGUAAGUAACUAUGCAGGUCUUGACGGUAACGAAUCAGAAAGCCACGGCUAACUACGUG